rnacentral:rRNA from 1 species
GAUAACCGGCGAACGGGUGCGUAACACGUGAACAACCUGCCCUCGUGUGGGGGAUAGCCGGGCUAACGCCCGGGUAAUACCGCAUACGUUCUUUCUGGGGAGUCCUGNGGAGAGGAAAGCUCCGGCGCACGGGGAGGGGUUCGCGGCCUAUCAGCUUGUUGGCGGGGUAACGGCCCACCAAGGCGACGACGGGUAGCUGGUCUGAGAGGAUGGCCAGCCACAUUGGGACUGAGAGACGGCCCAGACUCCUACGGGAGGCAGCAGUGGGGAAUCUUGCGCAAUGGUCGGAAGACUGACGCAGCGACGCCGCGUGUGGGAGGACGCCUUUCGGGGUGUAAACCACUGUUGCCCGGGACGAACUGGCGGUUUCGACCGCCCUGACGGCACCGGGUGAGGAAGCACCGGCUAACUCCGUGCCAGCAGCCGCGGUAAUACGGAGGGUGCGAGCGUUGUCCGGAAUCAUUGGGCGUAAAGGGCGCGUAGGUGGCCCGGUCAGUCUUUGGUGAAAGCGCGGGGCUCAACCCUGCGU